AACGACUCUCGGCAACGGAUAUCUCGGCUCUCGCAUCGAUGAAGAACGUAGCGAACUGCGAUACUUGGUGUGAAUUGCAGAAUCCCGUGAACCAUCGAGUCUUUGAACGCAAGUUGCGCCUGAAACCUUUGGUCGAGGGCACGUUUGCCUGGGUGUCAC
rnacentral:rRNA from 1 species